rnacentral:lncRNA from 1 species
CAGUCUAACCUGUAUAUAUAACGAUUUUAAACAUAAAAGCACCCCACUACACUUUGUAAAUAUCUGUGAGAAUAUUUGUUUCAGCAUGAAACCUAUUUAUCCAAAGCGGGAGUGCUCCGAAAUAAAUUUGUAACAGCGGAAAUACAUGUAAAGAACAAAAAAUUGGUUACUUUCCCCCUUACUUAUAUUCUCUAUCAAAAAAUGUUCGUUGUUAGAAUAAAGUACAAAGAACUUCUGAAGGAUUUGCCUUCAACUGCAAUUAUAUUGUAUGCUGGCGAAACAAAACUAUCCAUAGCCGCUGCAUGUUUAUGCACCUGUCCUGAUUGAUUGAGGGGCCUGUCGUUCAGCAGUUAUCGUUUGUUGAUGUUGUUCAUUGGUAUUUUCCCGUUUAGAUAUACAUGAUAUAUAAAUUAGAUCGUUGGUUUUCCUGUUCGAAUUGUGUACGCUAAUAAUUUUGGGGUC